UACGUAGGGCGCAAGCGUUAUCCGGAAUUAUUGGGCGUAAAGAGCUCGUAGGCGGUUUGUCGCGUCUGCCGUGAAAGUCCGGGGCUCAACUCCGGAUCUGCGGUGGGUACGGGCAGACUAGAGUGAUGUAGGGGAGACUGGAAUUCCUGGUGUAGCGGUGAAAUGCGCAGAUAUCAGGAGGAACACCGAUGGGCGAAGGCAGGUCUCUGGGCAUUAACUGACGCUGAGGCACGAAAGCCAGGGUAGCAAACGGG
rnacentral:rRNA from 1 species